rnacentral:rRNA from 1 species
UACGUAGGUUGCAGGCGUUGAUCGGAAUUACUGGGCGUAAAGCGUGCGCAGGCGGCUCCUUAAGUCAGAUGUGAAAGCCCCGGGCUUAACCCGGGAACUGCGUUUGAAACUGGGGAGCUAGAGUGUGGAAGAGGGGGGUGGAAUUCCAGGUGUAGCAGUGAAAUGCGUAGAGAUCUGGAGGAACACCGAUGGCGAAGGCAGCCCCCUGGGCUAACACUGACGCUCAUGCACGAAAGCGUGGGGAGCAAACAGG